GAGUCAAUUACAAACAAGAGAAGAGGUCAACUGCUAUGCUAAAGAAUUCAAUUACCGCUAAUUCUUCAGAAACUACAAAAGUCAGAAUUCCCUCUCCAACUCGUCGUCUUAGCAUGGCAAUAGGAAGGAUUGGCCAGAUUUCUGGUAUAAAAGAUAUGAUGACUGUAUCACAAGGGGUCAAACAUCCUGCAGGCCAAUCUGGUUCAGAUAAAGCUCAAGAUUCGUCCUCGCUUGAAACAGGCUGCAAUAAAUCAGACACCACUAGCCGAGCCAGGACGAGUCCCUUGAGGAGGUUGCUAGACCCACUGCUGAAGCCAAAGACAGGCAACUGUGAUAAUGUGACUGGAUCAUCCACGAAACGCGCUGAAUCUCCUACAAAACGAUCAUUAAAAGUUAAACUGGAUUUGAAGGGUUGUAGAUCUAUUGAUAUCGAUGAUCCACAUUCUAAAGGUACGCAUGCACCAUCAACAUUGCAAGCUCUCCUCCAAGUAGCUGUGAAGAAUGGUCUUCCUCUGUUCACAUUUGCAGUUGACAAUGAAGUUAACAUUUUAGCAGCCACAGUGAAGAAAUUUAGUUCGACAUUGAAGGAAAAUAGUUGCUGGAUUUACACUUUCUUCACCAUUCAUGAGACAAAGAGAAAGAGUGGAAGUUGGUUAAAUCAAGCCGGAAAAAACACUGCUGGUGGAAUAAUGCCUAACGUCGUUGGCAAGAUGAAGGUUUUUGAUGUUCCAUUCUCCGAAUCAAACAGACAGAGACUUGACACACAGUUUAAGACUAGGGAGUUUGUUUUGUUUGCCACAGAUGCAAGACAUCAGCCAAAUGACGAGCUCGCAGCUAUUGUCGUCAAAUCACCCAAUAGAAGCACUACUUGUCCUAAUGGAAGUAUCCAUCAGGAUCGUGGCUGCAAUAAUAUUUCAGCCUCAGGCGUAACAAAUCCUUUUGAAGAUCUUAGCAUGACAGCUAUACUUCCUGGUGGUGCACAUAGCCUACCUAGUAAAGGGGAGCCU
rnacentral:misc_RNA from 1 species